GUCACUUUGCCGGAGUGGUUAACGGGAUCGCCUGCUAUAAAUGCAAUUAGCGGUUGGGCUUUGCCCGCGAGUGUUCGAAUCGCUCAGGUGACG